AGCGUCGAAUUGAAGCCCCGGUGAACGGCGGCCGUAACGAUAACGGUCCUAAGGUAGCGAAAUUCCUUGUCGGGUAAGUUCCGACCUGCACGAAUGGCGUAACGACUUCCCCGCUGUCUCCAACAUCGACUCAGCGAAAUUGAAUUGCCUGUCAAGAUGCAGGCUUCCCGCGGUUAGACGGAAAGACCCCGUGCACCUUUACUACAGCUUCACACUGGUAUUCG
rnacentral:rRNA from 1 species